UCAGCUCUGUUUGAACCAAAUUAGCAAAUCGUUCAAAAAAUAUAUCUAAUCAAAAAUUGUCUAAAUCAGUCCAAACAAAAGAAAAUAAAACUGUUAUUAUACCCCUAUCCUUUAAAAUGCACGACUGAUGACAAUUUUAAGAAUUGAAAAAAUCUUAUAGGGAAAAUAAUUUCGUGAGUGUUUUGAGUUAUUAGACUGAAAUUCGCCAGAAUUUAUUCGUUU